rnacentral:lncRNA from 1 species
CGGCCCACAUCUAAUGGAAACCCAAGCCCACUGUCACUAGCAGCUCGUGGCCACGGACGCUCUUGGCUUGGGCGACACAUCCGUGUCCUGGUGCUAAACCGCCUCGGUUGAGUCCUUAGGAACAAUGCUGGGGUGAAGUGGAUGUGUUUCUACUACUGUGUUUCACCGAAACAGCUGUGCAACAGACUUCCUUUCGAUUGAAAGCUUCAUGGACUAUCAUCGCCAUCAGCAGCUGUGGGAGCAGGAGAAUUAGAAACAAGCUCUUUACGGAGGCUACCUGUGUCCUGCUGGGAGACCAGAGCAACUUCGAGGUGGAGGAGAGAAGCCUACUAGCUGUGCCUGGGAACUGCUCCUUGCCUUAGCCCCCACUUGUGUCCUCUAUGGGUCACUGCGGAGGUGAAGCCGAGACUUGUGGCUUCGUACUGAAGGAUGCAGGUGCCAAAUAUCAGCAAUACGUCUUCAUUGUAUGGGCCAAACAACAUUCCUGCUUCGUCAGCCUUCUGUAGGAUGGCACAGGGAUAAUACACAAUUGUUCCAGGUUCAGCCAACUGUGAUGCCUCAAGACAUAAAGCAUAUUCCCCUAAAGUAAUUUUGUUCUUUAUCCUUAAAGAACACAGCCAAACCCUCAAAACUACACAUUAACUUUAGUAGGACAACUGUAUUGCUAAUGCUUAACAGAUGCGAUUGAACCUUUUCUGUUAAAAUCCUCAGUUCCAGAAAUUUCCCUUGUUCUGACACUUUAAGAAGGUGAAAUUGUCCUUGAAAGGACAAAGUUCUUCCUUCCAGACUUGACAUAUUUUUCUAGAACCCUCCUACAUUGUACUUUGGUAUUUCAGUGUUGUGAAGUAUAGUAUCAGCUCAGUUCUGCAAAACUAUUGAGUUAUUGUACUGGUUAAUAAAGUGAAAUUUAUACAAGCUUAAUCA